CCCAGCGCUGGUGGUUUCUCUCUGUGUGCAAAUCCGAAGCAGCUCGGAAAACAGGUUCAUGCCCGAGCAGGCAAGAGACCCGGAGCGGCUAGAACGUGAGUCUGCAUUUGGACCACACUUCUGUGUUAUCUCCAACAUGCUACAAUGAAGAGAAGCCAUGCUUGGGCUGAACAUAGGGAACGUGUCCUGCCUUUAGGUCCAGGCUCCAAAAUUACCUCGGUGCUCCUCUGGGUUGAACAUCUGACCAUCUCUCUCCUAUCUAUGACUCUUUCAAAGGAUUCUUACUGAAUCCCCACAAGCAGCGGAUCGGAUGCAGUUCUGAGUUUCCGAAAAGCCUCAGAAGGAGGCCAAAGCAGCAGCCACACAGAAGACUUGUGCGAGGCAAGCCCCUGCAAACGCACAGAGUUUCAUGAGCGCCAAACAAACUCUGUUUGCCCGCCCACCCAAGACCGCAAGAGGCGCACACAACCACGCAUCCCGAGGUGGAAGAUAUAUCUGAUUGAUUUACCCUCUCGGAUUCAGGGACCAAGAUUAUUUCAGUUUAUGGGCUGGGUGCUUUUUUUCACAGAAGCCAGAAACUUAUUACUCAGCACGACAUGAUAGAAUAGUGAUCCUCCCAGGCUGAUAGUGUGCGAUGUGUAUACAGCUACCUUUUCAAUGAAUAACUGUUUACUCUCUUGUUACUUCAGCAGUAAAGGAUUUCACAUCAGUUGCCUCCUACUGAGUCAGACAUUGGAACACUUCGGCAUUGACUGCACGGACUAGCAGCAGCUGUCCAAGGUUUCAGUCGGAGGACUUUCUCAGCCCUACCUGGAGAUGCUGCCAGGGACUGAACUUGGGAACUUCUCAGGCCUGCAAAUGCUAUGUACAAUUUAGUGCAAGAUUUCCUGCCGGAUACGCUGCUGCCUCAGGGCCUGAUCAAGUUCUAUAGCUGUCUUCUGAGAAAAUGAUAUUUGCUAUCUCCAGCUUGUGAUGGUGAUGGAGGGGCCGACGGUGUUUUCUGCUUGCAAGUACUGCUCUUUUCUCCAUCCACUUGAUUUAUUGAAGCGUUCCAGUGACUCACAAGGAGUGCUUUGAGAGUCUGAGAGCACCGCCAGCGCUUGGCUUGCCACUAGCAGAACAGGCAGCAGCAGCUGGACUGAAGAGCUAGAAGUCUUUUGCGCUUGCUUUCCUUCUGGGGUCUACAGCAAGAAGCCUCCUCCUUUCUGUCAGGCCAGUCAGAUUUCCAGUCCUGGCCAAAGCACUUGGAACUAAGACCAGCUGAGCUGGGUGGAGCUGUGGAUUCAGUGUCUGCCCAAGGACCCCAAGCGCAGCAUGUGUGGGUAAGGUGAUUUUUUUAACCUUUGCCCAGAUCGUGGGGUCAAAUUGACCCAGAGACCUGGAAGAAAAUACCAUAUGAUGUUGAUUUCAGUCAGGGGUGCAGAUCCCCCUUUAAGCAUUUGAGGAUUUCCCCUCUCAUUUUACUGAUCUCCCACCCCCACCACCAAAGUGUUACCUAUUCAGCUCUCCCCAAGUAUUUUUCUCUCUGUUGAAAAGUGCUUUUCUGUCCCCCCAAAACAUAUCUUCUCCCCCCUCAAGGUGCAUUUUUUCUCCCCCCUCCAAACAUUUUAAGUGAGGAGUUGCUCCUCAGGCUUUCCCUCUGUUUGCACCCAGUUUCAGUGCCCUACAAUUCUAGAGCCCACAGCCUAAAGGAGAACAAUGGUGUUCCAUGCCCCCAACCCCACCUGUAAUUUUUUGUAAACUGUUGUGUGUACUCUGAUGGUGUUGGGGGCAUUUUGACUCCAGAUUGCAAUGAAUGGGAAGCUGAAACUGUCUGAUUCCAUGCCAUUUUUCUGUGUACCAAAAUAUUGAUAUGUACAUCGAUGUCUUUGCCGCUAUCCUGCUACUGUACUGCCAAAGGGAACUACAUUAUAAGGAGUUGGAUUUUUUUUUUCCUUUGCAGCCACUGUCAACACUUCAGUGUUCUUAGUUCCAUGACUUAUUCUGGGGUGUAUUUGACCCCCACAGUGGAUUAAUAAAGCACACUUUUUAGUAGAGCAAAGGUGCUGCUUCCUUUAAAAUCCAAACCAAGCCUGAACCAUCUUCAUCUGUUGUAAGAGAACUCAAGUAUUCAAGUUGCAACGGAUUCUUCAGCAGGUCUUGAUGUAAAUGCAAAUGUUUAAAUUACACAGAACUCUUUGUUAGGGAUCCACAUAUCCUGGUAAUAAGCACAGGCAAGGCUGGGAAAAUCCCUCGUGCCUGACCUCCGGGUUCUUAGAAUUCUGAUGCUGAAGGUCCUUGAACAUUUUACACAGCUCUGCAGCAGACUGGUACCUAAGAAUCUGCACCCACUGAUAUAAAAUCUUUUUGCGCUCAGGUUUUCCAAAAGCAUGAGAAACUGAUAGAAGUGAGAUGUGCGCACAGGAGCAGGCAGAUGAAUCUAUAGAGGCUCCAGGCAAUACAGAAAAUGCACUGUCAGCAGCCACUGGGCACAAAUCCCCUCUCUCUUUCCUACAUGCACUAACUCUGUUUGGCUUCAGACUUAGCUCAGAGCAAGGGAGGAGGCGAGAUAUGUGGAUAUAACUCAUCUAGCUCUCUGUUGCAGCUAUGCACUCUGCUACGGAAUCCUAGCGAAAAAGCGGCCCUCCUCUUCUCUGCAAAUGCAGUAGGUGGCAGCCCAACACACUGCCAUCUAGUGGUCCCCCUGGAAAAUGACAGGGUGCCAAAUUCUCUCUCUCACUGUCCCGU